UUGAACGCUGGCGGCAUGCUUUACACAUGCAAGUCGAACGGUAACAGGCCGCAAGGUGCUGACGAGUGGCGAACGGGUGAGUAAUGCGUCGGAACGUGCCCAGUCGUGGGGGAUAACGCAGCGAAAGCUGUGCUAAUACCGCAUACGAUCUAAGGAUGAAAGCGGGGGACCGAAAGGCCUCGCGCGAUUGGAGCGGCCGAUGUCAGAUUAGCUAGUUGGUGGGGUAAAGGCCCACCAAGGCAACGAUCUGUAGCUGGUCUGAGAGGACGACCAGCCACACUGGGACUGAGACACGGCCCAGACUCCUACGGGAGGCAGCAGUGGGGAAUUUUGGACAAUGGGGGCAACCCUGAUCCAGCCAUUCCGCGUGAGUGAAGAAGGCCUUCGGGUUGUAAAACUCUUUCGGCAGGAACGAAACGGUGAGCUCUAACAUAGCUUGCUAAUGACGGUACCUGAAGAAGAAGCACCGGCUAACUACGU
rnacentral:rRNA from 1 species